rnacentral:tRNA from 1 species
GUAAAUAUAAUUUAUAUAAAAUAUUAGACUGUGAAUCUAAAAAUAGGGUGUGCUCAACCCUUAUUUACC